AUUAAUCGGAUUUUUGAACUUGGAGUAUGGUGCUGGAGCUUGCUCCACCCUGCUCACGGGUUGUCCUGGUAUUGCAGUACCUCCAGGUUCGGCUCACGUUUC
rnacentral:snRNA from 1 species